UAGUGGACGGCGCAUUGGGCUGGUAUGUUGUUAUUUUUGCUGAGGAAGGUUCGAAUCCAGCGCGACAAGGAUCAUCCUAAUUACUUUUAAAACACAUUUUUCCCGCUGUACAAUGUUAUAGUAAUGUAGAGCUCAGAUAUUCAGUUCAGUUCAGUGUAGUUUUUAUUUGAGUUGCGACAUGCAAAGGCCAGUAUAAUGUUUAUGAAUACGUAGCAAAUCUGUUGACAUGGGUAGGUUGAUAGGUUUACACGGCAUCUGGACAGGCUCAGAAACCAGUAGGUGGAAAAACCAGAAGGCACAUAACACCGG